AGUUCGGAUUGCAGGCUGNAACCCGCCUGCAUGAAGUUGGAAUCGCUAGUAAUCGCGGAUCAGCAUGCCGCGGUGAAUACGUUCCCGGGCCUUGUACACACCGCCCGUCACACCAUGAGAGUCGGGAACACCCGAAGUCCGUAGCCUAACAGCAAUGGGGGCGCGGCCGAAGGUGGGUUCGAUAAUUGGGGUGAAGUCGUAACAAGGUACC
rnacentral:rRNA from 1 species